AAGGCCUGAUGUGUGUGAGAUUACCCGCUGAAUUUAAGCAUAUAAGUAAGCGGAGGAAAAGAAACUAACUAGGAUUCCCUUAGUAAUGGCGAAUGAACAGGGAUCAGCUCAGUGCCAAAUCGGAAUCACUUGUGGUUCUGAAAUGUGGCUUGAAGGCAGUACCAGUGGCAUCGCGGACGAAAGUCUCUUGGAAAAGAGCGUCAUAGAGGGUGAGAAUCCCGUGAGUCGUUCGCCGUUUGUCACGUACGGUCUGCGUUCUAACGAGUCGCGUUCCUUGGGAUUGGAGCGUAAACGGGUGGUAAAUUUCAUCCAAAGCAAAUAUAUACUCGAGACCGAUAGCACAAAAGUACCGUGAGGGAAAGUGAAAGACUUUGAGAGAGGGUAAAUAGUGCCUGAAUCGUUGAGAGAGCGGAUGCCGCGUGCAUAUGCUGAUGUAGAUGCUGCUCGCUCUGUCUCUGC
rnacentral:ncRNA from 1 species